rnacentral:rRNA from 1 species
UAGGGAAUCUUCCACAAUGGACAAAAGUACUGAUGGAGCAACGCCGCGUGAGUGAAGAAGGGUUUCGGCUCGUAAAACUCUGUUGUUAAAGAAGAACAUAUCUGAGAGUAACUGUUCAGGUAUUGACGGUAUUUAACCAGAAAGCCACGGCUAACUACGUGCCAC